UACGUAGGGUGCAAGCGUUAAUCGGAAUUACUGGGCGUAAAGCGUGCGCAGGCGGUGAUGUAAGACAGAUGUGAAAUCCCCGGGCUCAACCUGGGAACUGCAUUUGUGAUUGCAUCGCUGGAGUGCGGCAGAGGGGGAUGGAAUUCCGCGUGUAGCAGUGAAAUGCGUAGAUAUGCGGAGGAACACCGAUGGCGAAGGCAAUCCCCUGGGCCUGCACUGACGCUCAUGCACGAAAGCGUGGGGAGCAAACAGG
rnacentral:rRNA from 1 species